GUUGUUACCAUGGUUAAUAAGAUGGGAUUUUUUGCUGAGGCGGGUCCUGUGCAGAUAUUUGUGUCCAAUCAUUUGAUCCCGGAUGAUAUGGAGUUUCAAUCCGGAGAUGUGCCGAACUACACUACAUCCGAUGGAUCGGUUAAAAUUCAAAAAGAGAGCGAAGUGCGUUUGAAGAUUAUUGGCACACGUGUUGAUGCUACAGAAAUUUUCUGCAUUGGGACGAUAAAGGAUGACUUUUUGGGUGUCAUCAAUGACCCUGGUGCUGCUUCAUAGAGAUGAAAAGUGAAUUUGCUGGUGUAAUAUGG
rnacentral:misc_RNA from 1 species